rnacentral:rRNA from 1 species
UACGUAGGUGGCAAGCGUUAUCCGGAAUUAUUGGGCGUAAAGCGCGCGCAGGCGGGUUCUUAAGUCUGAUGUGAAAGCCCACGGCUCAACCGUGGAGGGUCAUUGGAAACUGGGAAACUUGAGUGCAGAAGAGGAAAGUGGAAUUCCACGUGUAGCGGUGAAAUGCGUAGAGAUGUGGAAGAACACCAGUGGCGAAGGCGACUUUCUGGUCUGUAACUGACGCUGAGGCGCGAAAGCGUGGGGAGCAAACAGG